UACGUAGGGGGCAAGCGUUGUCCGGAAUCAUUGGGCGUAAAGAGCGCGUAGGCGGCCCUGUACGUCCGCUGUGAAAGUCAAGGGCUCAACCCUUGGAUGCCGGUGGAUACUGCAGGGCUAGAGUCCGGAAGAGGCGAGUGGAAUUCCUGGUGUAGCGGUGAAAUGUGUAGAGAUCGGGAGGAACACCGGUGGCGAAGGCGGGUCUCUGGGCAAUUCCUGACGCUGAGGCGCGAAAGCGUGGGGAGCAAACAGG
rnacentral:rRNA from 1 species